UCCAUGUCAUGAAAACACUCCAACAGCCUUAUGAAAAAGUACAUGUGGGGAGGAACUGAGGCCUCCUGCCAACAGCCAGCACCAACUUGUCAGUGAUUGAGUGAGCCAUCGUGGAAUCAGAUCUUCCAACUCCAGUCAAUCCUUCAGAUGACUGCUGUCCCAAUCAUCAUAUGAUAGCAGCCUGAUGAGACACUUUGAUCUAGAACCACCCAGCAUCCAGAUUUAAGAAUAGCCAGAGAGAAAACAGCGCAAGAAAUCAUCAUGGUUUGAGCUCCUCUGAAGCUGAAGCUGAACGUGCAGACAAAAAAGCAAGAGAUUCUCUUCCCCUAAGAGCUUCCCUCCUGAGUAUUCCGUAGACGACCAGAAGAGACUUACAGCAAGCUGCUGGUAACAGGGCUCAGUGCUCUACUUCCAUCCUCAAGGGACAGAAGGAAUCCUCACUGGAUCUCCAACUACAAGGCCAG